AGUUUGAUCCUGGCUCAGAACGAACGCUGGCGGCGUGGAUAAGACAUGCAAGUCGAACGGGACUGUUUUUGUAGCAAUACAGAAGCAGUUUAGUGGCGAACGGGUGCGUAACACGUGGGGAAUCUGCCGAGAAGUGGGGGAUAGCUCGCCGAAAGGCGAAUUAAUACCGCAUAUGACCAGAGAGGACAUCCUUUCGACGUCAAAGCCGGGGCAACCUGGCGCUUCUUGAUGACCCCGCGGCCUAUCAGCUAGUUGGUGAGGUAACGGCUCACCAAGGCUAUGACGGGUAGCUGGUCUGAGAGGACGACCAGCCACACUGGAACUGAGACACGGUCCAGACACCUACGGGUGGCAGCAGUCGAGAAUUUUUCUCAAUGGGGGAAACCCUGAAGGAGCGACGCCGCGUGGAGGAUGAAGGUCUUCGGAUUGUAAACUCCUGUCAUUGGGGAACAACUGUCGCCGAGUUACUACCGGCGGCUUGAUAGUACCCGAAGAGGAAGAGACGGCUAACUCUGUGCCAGCAGCCGCGGUAAUACAGAGGCCUCAAGCGUUGUUCGGAUUCAUUGGGCGUAAAGGGUGCGUAGGCGGCGAGGCAAGUCGGAUGUGAAAUCCCGGGGCUCAACCCUGGAACUGCAUUCGAUACUGCCUUGCUCGAGGACUCGAGAGGAGAUUGGAAUUCACGGUGCAGCAGUGAA
rnacentral:rRNA from 1 species